rnacentral:rRNA from 1 species
CCUACGGGAGGCAGCAGUGAGGAAUAUUUGUCAAUGGCCGGAAGGCUGAACCAGCCAUGCCGCGUGAAGGUCAGUGCCCUAUGGGCGUUAAACUUCUUUUGUGCGGGAGCAAUAAUGGUCACGUGUGGCCAGACGAGAGUACCGUACGAAUAAGCAUCGGCUAACUCCGUGCCAGCAGCCGCGGUCAUACGGGGGAUGCAAGCGUUAUCCGGAUUUAUUGGGUUUAAAGGGUGCGUAGGCUGUGAGGUAAGUCAGCGGUGAAAUGCCCCCGCUCAACGGGGUGAAGUGCCAUUGAUACUGCCUGGCUGGAAUGCGGAUGCCGUGGGAGGAAUGUGUGGUGUAGCGGUGAAAUGCAUAGAUAUCACACAGAACACCGAUUGCGAAGGCAUCUCACGAAUCCGCGAUUGACGCUGAUGCACGAAAGCGUGGGUAUCAAACAGGAUUAGAUACCCCAGUAGUC